CACUAGUGUAAAUCGUCAUUGCUGCGGUUAAAAAGCUCGUAGUUGGAUCUGAGUCGCAUGCAAUGGUUCGUCAUUGACGUUAAUCAUUGUUGUGACUAUCGGCUGGUUUUCUAUUGAGAUCUCGAUCUCUUUAGUGACUAGCGAGUUUACUUUGAAUAAAUUAGAGUGCUCAGAACAAGCGUUUGCUUGAAUGUUUGAUCAUGGAAUAAUAGAAGAGGACUUCGGUUCUAUUUAUUGGUUCAGGAACUGAAAUAAUGGUUAAGAGGGACAAUUCGGGGGCAUUCGUAUCCCUGCGCGAGAGGUGAAAUUCGUGGACCGCAGGGGGACGCCCUAAAGCGAA
rnacentral:rRNA from 1 species